rnacentral:rRNA from 1 species
UACGGAGGGAGCUAGCGUUGUUCGGAAUUACUGGGCGUAAAGCGCACGUAGGCGGCUUUUUAAGUCAGGGGUGAAAUCCCGGGGCUCAACCCCGGAACUGCCCUUGAAACUGGAGAGCUAGAAUCUUGGAGAGGCGAGUGGAAUUCCGAGUGUAGAGGUGAAAUUCGUAGAUAUUCGGAAGAACACCAGUGGCGAAGGCGACUCACUGGACACAUAUUGACGCUGAGGUGCGAAAGCGUGGGGAGCAAACAGG